AUUGAACGCUGGCGGCAGGCCCAACACAUGCAAGUCGAGCGAACCCUUCGGGGUUAGCGGCGGACGGGUGAGUAACGCGUGGGAACGUGCCCUUUUCUACGGAAUAGCCUCGGGAAACUGAGAGUAAUACCGUAUACGUCCUUUUGGGGAAAGAUUUAUCGGAGAAGGAUCGGCCCGCGUUGGAUUAGGUAGUUGGUGGGGUAAUGGCCUACCAAGCCGACGAUCCAUAGCUGGUUUGAGAGGAUGAUCAGCCACACUGGGACUGAGACACGGCCCAGACUCCUACGGGAGGCAGCAGUGGGGAAUCUUAGACAAUGGGGGCAACCCUGAUCUAGCCAUGCCGCGUGAGUGAUGAAGGCCUUAGGGUUGUAAAGCUCUUUCAGCUGGGAAGAUAAUGACGGUACCAGCAGAAGAAGCCCCGGCUAACUCCGUGCCAGCCGCCGCGGUAA
rnacentral:rRNA from 1 species